rnacentral:lncRNA from 1 species
CUCAACAGAAUGCACACAAGGGUAUCAAAAGACAUGUAUAAACUGUCGAUGCAGGAUUACCUGUAAUAGCACCAAACUGAAGGCAACCUCAAUGCCUAUCAACAUUAGAAUGGAUAAGUAAAUUGUGAUAUAUUUAUGCAAUGGAAUAUCAUAGAGCAAUUCAAUAAGCAAAAUUUUACAAUGUGGAUUAAUCUCAGAUAUAAGGUUGAGAAAGGAGCCAGAUCAAAAACAGAAUCCAGGGGCUGAGGUUGUGGCUCAGUGACAGAGCACUUGCCUUGCACAUGUAAGGCACUGGGUUCGAUCCUCAGCACCAUAUAAAAAUAAGUAAACAAAGAUAUUGUGUCCAUUUAUAACUAAACAACCCCCAGAAUCCAUAUAUAUAAAUUUUAAACAAGACAAAAUGAUUGAUUUGUGGUGAUGGAAAUCAGAAUAUGGGUAGAAGACCAAGAUGGACAUGAGAGAGGCUUUUGGGAUGCUGAUAAUACUCCAAGUUUUGAUCUGGGUGUUGAAACACAGGUGUGUUCACUUUUAUUAUAAACUUUGUACAAUUAAGAUUUAUAUUUAUUGUAUUGAUAUGUUAUACUUUAACAAAAUUUAUAAGACAUUGGAAGAAUGCAUUUUACUAAGUGAAUUUUAAUGUUCCCUUUAGCUCUAACACACUAUGAUUUUGAGAAAAUUCUUUGAAAAUAAGAAAAACACCUUGUAUUUGUAGAAGGUUUUAUUAUCAGUGGUAGCUUACCAUGAAUUUGUAGUUAUUUCUUAAAUUAUGGCAGAUAAAUUAUUUAAAUUUCUAUAUAUUUAUUUUUCAUUUGAAAAUUUAACUGCCUCCCUCCCCUUCUGACUCUCAUUCAUUUCCUACUUCCUUUAAACUUUUUCUAUCAAGAAACUAGAUGUGCCACCAGAGACAUAUACCAUGGAGAGUCAUCCAUUACUGCCAUUUUGAACUGGCAGUAAACAAUGGCAAAGCCUCUGGGAUGCAAGUCAUAAGGUUUAAGGAGAAUGUUUUAUGUUUUCAUGAAGUCAUUUUUGGUUUUGGAUUCCACAGAUUAGGUUUUUACUUAAAGGCAUAACACAGCAGUGGAUAUAAUGAUUUCUCCAAUCACUUGACUUCUGUUGGGCAUCCAUAAUUUUAAUAUCAGGAAAAUAAUGCUAUAGAAGAAUAAAAUAAUACAUUCAACAUUCACUUCCAAAUGUAAUCAUUCAAGUGAUAUCAUCUUUAUCAUUGCCAUCACUUUAUUUAGGCUUAUCAGUAAAACUGAGUUAAUGAAUCCACCAGUGGGCACAGUUGAUAAAGUAGUUGACUUACUCUGAGAGAUUAGAAUAUGGCUUUAUGGCCACCAUUGAGCUUGUUUAGAACACACUAUGUGUUUUUCUUUCUUGGAGCCUUUUUCUUUCUUUCAGAUAUUCAUUAAGAACUCAACUUUCCUGGUAUCUAAAUGAAAGUGUCCUUUGAAAGUAUAUUGCCUUUCUAAUUCUUGGCCUGGGGAAAAAUGUCAGAAAAUUCUUUAAACCU